GGCUUCGUGUCCGUACAAAAGCACAGAAGAAAACCCAAAGCCCAUCACAAAAAUGCUGCCGAUAGCCAAAUAAACUCCCUUAUUACACAAUAUCAGUGCGAACUAAGAAGUACCUUCCCGGCAGAGGGGCUCAGCAGCAGUUGCAGCUGGGGAGCUGGUGAGUCUGGCUCGGCACCGGAGAGCUUGUGUGCAAGUGAUGAUUCCUCUGUAAUAUAUUCGGUGCUAGUUAUUGGCAAGAAGCAAAAGAUGCGAAGUGGGAGUUUAAAGAAGAAAAACAUCAUGAAGAUACCAGGUCUUUCCUGACUUUUCCACAUCAUG
rnacentral:lncRNA from 1 species